AAAGAUCAUCUCAUGCCUCCGAGCCAGAUGAUCAUCCGUCAAACAAACGUGUAAGAAGUGAUCCGUAACUGUAAAUCAGCAAACUCCGUUUAACGGACAAGGUGAAACCAAACUGAGGAUAGAGAGCAGUUGGGUACUUGGAUUGGUUUCCAUGAUCAUAAUGCCUGCAUAAUCUCCCCUCUUAAUUCAGAGUUAUUGCUAUUUAGAAAUUUUGGGAAGAAGGGUUUUGGUAAUAAUGCCUUUAACCUCCGUAGUUUUGUAAGACCCUCUUGUUCUCUUAAGGCUUAGUAUAUAUUCAACAUUGUCGACUCGACUUACACUUGUUUGUCCGAUGGUUGCUUCGUAUCGAUAUUGUUCGAGAAUUUAUCAUUGAAAGAACAAAUCUGGACCAUUGGAUUCAGAGAUGAUCCAUUUGAUUGAUAUAAGAAAUCACAGAAUUCUACCUAUAAAUGCUUAAGAAUAUCUCAGUUUCUUGCGAUCAACUCCGCCAACAAGUCUUUCAUUGGAUCGCCGGGGCUCGGGAGAUGAUGAGAGUGGGAGCUGAGUGUGUUCCUAAAAACAAACCAAUAUGACAUGAGGAGUUAAUUGUGUGGACUAAUCAAAAGGAUGUCGAAGUUGUUAUUAACACCGACGGAUCGGUUAUCCAACCUCAUGGAGUUGCAGCGGGUGGCGGUGUCAUCAGGACCCGUACGUGCCUGACAGCCUUUACAGGUAAUUUGGGUAUAUGUACUAUCACUCGAGCCGAGAUCCGUGGAGCUAUUCAUGACCUCCGUCUUGCAUGGGAUGGUGUACAGAAAAGUUAAUCUUCAGGUGGACUCAUCAGUUGUGGUUUCUUUUGCUAAUAAGGAUCCCCUUAGCGAUACCCGAUACUUAGCGAUAUUCGGUAAUGGUUCUGGAAAUUCCCCGUAUUUCGAUAUUCGGUAAUUCAGUAAUAUUGAUACUAUCCUGAUUUCCACCGUGUCCAUGGGCAGUAUUUUCAAUUCGUUCUUGGCAACAUUCCAAAACCUUAAUGGUUUUAUGUGCCGAAAUAGUUCAUUCAGCUAUUCAAGUUUUGCCGUUCUUUUUCCCUACUGUAUUGCGUACAAGAGAUCAUUCAUCAAUCAUCAGCUCUCUAAUUGGGAAUGAGGAAGGAAUAUCUCUUUUUAUAGAUUUGGAAUUAAAUUUAUUAAUCGUCAACAAAGCUUUUCUUAAACCUUUCUACUUGCAGGCAGGUAAAUAAACGGAGUGAUUAUGACGGAAGCUGAUGGACACGUUGUAUUCGAAAAGGUUAAAAAUGGCGGACGACGAUUCAUAGUCCUCCCCAUUCCUCUGUUUCUCCUCUAUUGCUCUGUUUUCCUCUGUUUCGGUAUGUCCAUGCAAAAUCUAGGAAAUGCCAGCACAGGCAACAAAACAUUAUCCGUUCCGGCCGAGAUUGUCAUCGCCCUGGUGAUAUCCAGUCCAGUUUUGAUGGUACUCUCACUCUUUCUGUACAAGCUAGUAGCGAGGUUUGUCCGCGACAAGUAUCGACGCAAAUGGGUGGACCAGCACCUCCUACCGAGUCUCCAGCAGAUGAGUUACCGGGAGGCGAUCGAUCUGAUAGCGGGUCGGUUCGAAGCACCCGAAUGCUCGAUGUGCCUCGACGCAUUUGAGCUGGAAGACGAGACGGUGACGGUGCUUCCCGGUUGCAACCACAUCUACCGUCCGAAUUGCAUAAAGGGAUGGUUGAUGAAGAGCACUCUGUUGCCGACUUUUCCCUGCUGCCCCAUAUGUAAAUCCACCAUAGUAAUUACUAGUUAGUUAGGCGAUUGUAUAGUUCAGUUCGAAAUGUUUCAGCUAAUCAGUCAGUAAAUGUAAGUUAAAUAGUGUUCUUGUUUCGGUACGAAAAGCUUCAAAUACUUGGCACAAUGCGAAAUUAAUAUAAUCUGUCUCGAUUUUUAAUGACAUUACUUAUGAUCGACAAUAAACUUUCAUACGACCAGCCCCAGGCUAGGUUGUAAAUUGGGAUAGGACGAGAACCGAGUUCGGGGUAGUUGAAUAGUCGGUUCGAUCGAGUCUCGGAUUAGCCCCUUGAGUAAGAAUGGUGGGCAAUUGCUUAAUGAAUCAGUCUACUUGAGGCUUUAUAGGAAUUAUGAUUGUCCUAGAAAAGUAGUGAAAAUCAAACUAGUAAUGAAAGUUCUUGCUGGUUGAGAUGAAAUAUUACUGAAAAUUUAAGGGAUGUUGAUGAAAUAAAAGAAAUAAUCCGACCUAUCAGUGACCUAAGGAUUUAAUAGAUAUUAAUAAUUUGACACUUUAUAGCACAAACCGACCUUAGCUCAGUUGGUAGAGCGGAGGACUGUAGUGUUGCAGCAAAUCCUUAGGUCACUGGUUCGAAUCCGGUAGGUCGGAUUAUUUCUUUUUUAUUCCUCUAUAAUAUAUUUCAUUCCCUCAAGAUCUUAGAACGGUUUGCACGGUCCGGCCAGUAUGACUGCUGAAGCUAUUCUCUGUUUCUUCGCCUAUCUCUAGUAGCCAUUUUCUCCCCAAAACAUCGGCCAAAUCAACUAACCCAACCUCCCUCAGCUUCUUCGAUGUCUCCUCGAACAUCGCGACUCCUUCCUUGUUCGAGAAGUAGUGCAAGAACUUGUUGUAAUCGAACCUAGGAACUUCAAUCCCUCCAUUCAACGUCCUCUCCACGUACUUCGUAGCUUCCAACGACUUCCCAGCCUUCACCAACCUCCCCAACAAAAAUGGUGUCGAAAUUCAACGCGGUGUCGGGUCCUUUCCUCCCUCUCUUCCCCAAAUGCCCCUGCAGCAGCAUCACGUAAGUAUGCAUUAUAGGUUCACAUCCUCUGCUGAUCAUUUCCCUGAAAAAUUCCGUUGCUUCGGCGGCCUUUUUCAUCCUCAGUAGCCCCUUGAUCAAUCCAAUAAAUGGCUAUGUCAGGUUUCUCAACCUGAAAUAAGAAAUAUUUUUACGGGGAAACAUAAAAAAAAGUGGAAUAAAAUUCGAUCUAUCGGAUUCAAACAAGUGACCUAAGGAUUUUUUGCUACAUUAUAGCCCUUCGUUUCUACUAACUGAGCUAAGGUCGGUUUGUGUCAUGUAGUUCCAACACUCUAUAAAUUGUGUUCAUGUUCAUUCUCACUCUCACAAGUAAAAUCACUUAUAGCAAUGGCUCUUCUCGUGACCUUAACCUUAUCAUUUAUGGCUACUACAAUGAUGACGUCGAGGGUCCUUCUCUUUCCUAGUUGGGUGCCCAUCAAGGACAUGAAGGACAAGAAUAUCGUUGCAAUUGUUGAGUUCGUCAAAACAUACAACAGACAGCCAACGAGCCGUUGAAGUUUGUGAGCGGGGACAAGGGGGAGGCACUCAUUAAAGGCGACACCAACUACAAUACUCGCUCGUUGUGUAAUUUAUGAUGUGUUUAGGAUGUCAACAUUAGUUGUCGAAAUCAAUGACAUGCUGUUUUCGAGUUUUGUAUGUCGACAUUUUGUUGUCAUUCGGGAACAGAUAGAAUCUUUAGUGCAAGUAGAGACUUUUGAUUACCUUGAUCUUUUGUCGCGUAUAUAACUUCGUUUAGACUUUUGAUUACCUUGGUCUUUUAGAGAUUCCUGUAAAUGCAAGGGCAAUCUACUGUAUGGUUUUGAUUAUCAUGAUUUCCUGGAGAGACGAUGCAGUAAGGAUUCCAUUUAGAUGCAAUGUCUGAUUUAAGUUUGUGCAUUUGUUCAGAUUUUCACCAUUCAAUUGUUUGUUCCUUUUACAGAUGAGUGAACUUGUGCUCUUUCUAGUUCUUCACAAGGCCACGUAAAGUACGACUUGUGAGGUUCCUGAAGGCCGUACCUUUCGGUGGCGUGUUUUUACUGUCAUGUUGAUUUAAGGAUAGAAUGGAGGCACGGCCAUCCUUAUCCAUGCAAAGAUCAGGUGUGAAUCAGCUUAGUAGUUUUGGUCUGUCUGGACCAAUGUCCUCAGCAUUUCCAGUUCUUCCUCUCUCCCCUGAAGAUUCAUAUCCGAAGUUACCAACCUACCGGCAGGCUCCCAUGGAAAUGGACCGUACGGCAAGGUCCUCUUUGUCUUCUAACAGUGGUGCAGUGGGUCCCAUCUUCUCAUCAUCUGCAGGCUUGUCAACAGGCUUCCAGUUCACUCCUGUCUCACUGCAAGAGAAAAACUCGAGUUAUCCUUUCGUUUCAUCUACAGACAUGUCAACUUUACCAGUGCCACAAUCUUCUCAGUCUCAAUUCCUUCCGCCCCCAACUUCAAGUCGUGAUGCCAAGGGAAACAGUGAUUCCUGGUCUGCAGAGCCUUUGUCUGGUUUUCUAGAUUUUCCUGUCUCUCCGGUGCAAACCAGUCAAAUUGGCAGCAAUAGUUGUAAUGUCAUUGUCUCUGAGGAUAUUUGCAAAAGAAAUGACUGGCAGAAUUGGGCGGACGAGUUAAUUACCAGUGACGACUCGUUGACAUCUACUUGGAAUGAGCUUCUGGUUGACACCAAUAUUUCAGAAAUGGGACCAAAGGUUGUGAUCUUUUUUAUAAACAACUUAUAUGCUACCUUCAUAAAGUAUGUAGUUUACCGUAUUUCUUUUGUUACUCUCAUUGUCAUAUUCUUGCUUCAGAUAACAUACCAGGUGCCCAAACCAUCUCCAUCUCCUGCUGCAUCUGGUUUGGGGAUCCGCCCUGCUCCUGUUGCAUCUCCUGCUCCUGCAGCAAGCAAUGGCACAUCGAAGUCACGCUUGAGGUGGACUCCUGAACUUCAUGAAUCCUUUGUUGAGGCUGUCAGCCGGCUUGGCGGUAGCGAAAGUGUGUGAUUCUCAUAGUCUCAAUAAGUUCACAACUGAAACUCUCUCUUACAUUUUCUGUUCCAGUAAGUUAAUUAUAAUUUAUUCCAACAUACAGGAGCCACACCAAAAGGAGUGCUGAAGCUGAUGAAAGUUGAAGGAUUGACCAUUUAUCAUGUAAAAAGUCACUUGCAGGUAUAUACUUCUUAGUAUUUGCCACUUUCCUCUAAUUUACAUCUUUGAUGACGAAUAAGUGUAGAUUUGUUUAUCUAACGUUCAGUUUGGAUCGACUUUCAGAAAUACAGGACAGCUAGAUAUAGACCGGAGCCAUCUGAAGGUAUUGGAUAUGUGGAGUCUAAAAAUUUUACUGCUUGAAUUUAUUUUUGUGUUGAUUGGUCUUUUAAGGAGUUACAUGAAUGUGGACUGCUAGAUUGGAUGGACUUUUAACUUUGAUCAUGAUGGGAACUGUGAAUUGCUAGAGAUGCACUAACUUCUGAACAUUAUAGUCGACCAAUUCGUGCAAGGAACCUGAUCAAAUGCAUGCCUCCAGUCAAAUCGUGCUUAUUGUUGGUCCAUAUUUGUGGACUUCUGCGCAUGCAUUAUAAGAAAUGUUCUAUGUACAACGCAGUUUAUUAAAUGACUGCACUGUCUUACAUGUAGGAUCAUCAGAGCAGAGACCGACUCCUAUAGAACAAUUAUCAUCCCUCGACUUGAAGACGUACGUCGAUAUUUCUUUAAAAAUUCCUGACUUGAAGACUCGUAUAGAACAUUUUGUGCAAGCUUAGGUAUUCAGCCUUGCUAUAAUGCUCUAUGGGGCAUGCAUUGUCAUGCUUAAUCUUUUUAUCUGGUUUUUAUCGCAGGGGUAUCGCGAUAACUGAAGCUCUGCGAAUGCAAAUGGAAGUUCAGAAGCGCCUGCACGAGCAGCUUGAGGUAAAACCCCCGAUUCCGAUAGGUAUAGAAGUUGCAUGGUGGUCCCUGUUGAUUUUAUUUACUAACAACUUAAUCACCACAUCCAUUAUCUACAGAUCCAGCGGAAUCUUCAGCUGCGUAUUGAAGAACAAGGGAGAAACCUCCAAAUGAUGUUUGAGAAGCAGUGUAAGUCGGGCAGUGACAAGCUGAAAGCGGCAUCAUCACCAUCCUUGGAGAAUGCAGCAGGCGCCGUGCUGGCUUCUGAUGCAGUUCUAGAUUCAAUCGGUACAGAAGCUGCCGUCUUAAAGGCAAACGAGACAGCCAACGACAGAACUGCUGUGACGUCUUCAUUAGACGAAAGUCCAACGAGCCCUAGUGGGCCGCAAAGAUCAUCUCAUGCCUCCGAGCCAGAUGAUCAUCCGUCAAACAAACGUGUAAGAAGUGAUCCGUAACUGUAAAUCAGCAAACUCCGUUUAACGGACAAGGUGAAACCAAACUGAGGAUAGAGAGCAGUUGGGUACUUGGAUUGGUUUCCAUGAUCAUAAUGCCUGCAUAAUCUCCCCUCUUAAUUCAGAGUUAUUGCUAUUUAGAAAUUUUGGGAAGAAGGGUUUUGGUAAUAAUGCCUUUAACCUCCGUAGUUUUGUAAGACCCUCUUGUUCUCUUAAGGCUUAGUAUAUAUUCAACAUUGUCGACUCGACUUACACUUGUUUGUCCGAUGGUUGCUUCGUAUCGAUAUUGUUCGAGAAUUUAUCAUUGAAAGAACAAAUCUGGACCAUUGGAUUCAGAGAUGAUCCAUUUGAUUGAUAUAAGAAAUCACAGAAUUCUACCUAUAAAUGCUUAAGAAUAUCUCAGUUUCUUGCGAUCA
rnacentral:lncRNA from 1 species